UUUUUUAGAAGAGAUGCAUUUAUUAGAUAAAAAACCAAUACAUGCUUUUAAAGUAUGGAAUUUGGUGAUUUACAAUAACUUAGCAAAUCGCAUAGUGAAAACAGGCGAUAAAUCAUUCAAGUUUCUGACCUAUCAGCUUUCGACGGUAUGGUAUUGGCUUACCGUGGCAGUGACGGUUAACGGGGGAUUAGGGUUCGAUUCCGGAGAGGGAGCCUGAGAAACGGCUACCACAUCUAAGGAAGGCAGCAGGCGCGCAAAUUACCCAAUUCUAACAGCAUAAGAGAGGUAGUGACAAGAAAUAACAAUACAAGGCAGUUAAAAUGCUUUGUAAUUGGAAUGAUAGAAAUUUAAACACUUUUUAAAGUAUCAAUUGGAGGGCAAGUCUGGUGCCAGCAGCCGCGGUAAUUCCAGCUCCAAUAGCGUAUAUUAAAAUUGUUGCAGUUAAAAAGCUCGUAGUUGAAUUUCUGCUAAAAAUAACCGGUCUGCUUUUAAUAAAGGUGGUAUCUUGGUGUGUUUUUAGCAAUAAUGUCCUUUGAAAUGUUUUUUACUUCAUUGUAAUAAAUUAUAUUCAGGAUUUUUACUUUGAGAAAAUUAGAGUGUUUCUAGCAAGCUAACGCUUUGAAUA
rnacentral:rRNA from 1 species